AUUGAACGCUGGCGGCGUGCUUAACACAUGCAAGUCGAGCGGUAACAGGCGUAGCAAUACGUGCUGACGAGCGGCGAACGGGUGCGUAAUACAUGGGAAUCUGCCCUUUGGUGGGGAAUGACCCGGCGAAAGCCGGGCUAAUGCCGCAUAAGAUCUUCGGAUGAAAGCGGGGGAUCGUAAGACCUCGCGCCGAUGGAUGAGCCCAUGUCGGAUUAGCUAGUUGGUGAGGUAACGGCUCACCAAGGCGACGAUCCGUAGCUGGUCUGAGAGGACGGCCAGCCACACUGGGACUGAGACACGGCCCAGACUCCUACGGGAGGCAGCAGUGGGGAAUAUUGGACAAUGGGGGAAACCCUGAUCCAGCGACGCCGCGUGUGUGAAGAAGGCCUGCGGGUUGUAAAGCACUUUCGAUGGGAACGAAAUGUGCCGGGCUAAUACCCCGGCAAGCUGACGUUACUCAAUGAAGAAGCACCGGCUAACUCUGUGCCAGCAGCCGCGGUAAUAC
rnacentral:rRNA from 1 species